CCCUUCUGCCAUGUGAGGACACACAGAAGUCACCAUCUAUAAGAAACAGGCUCCCACCAGACACUGAGUCUGCUGGAGCCUUGAUCUUGAAUUUCCCAACCUCCAGAACUGUGGCCACCAGACUUUCUCUGCUUGUAUCCUCCCAGGACCACAGAACUCAUCGCAUCCCAAGGCAGCCUAUUCCAUCAUGGAUGAGCUCAAAGUGUUUGAAAGUUCUGCUUUAUCAAAACUCUUGAUGGCCUGCUUCCCAUCCUCCAUCCUGGAAGACUGAUCUGAAACCCCAGGAGGAGGUCCUCUGAGCCCUGAGGCAGAGAUCUCUCACCUGGAAGAUGGGUCUAAUGACUGCGCCCCACACACACCAGAGAGGACUGCAGAUAGUGCGGGAUGAGAGGAAGAUCUCUGGCCCUGGAGACAGCAUCAUCAAGCGGUAGCUUCAUCUUUGGGAGCUGGGGCCUCUGCAGGAGCUUUACCCUCCUCUCUCCAUGCUGAGCCUGUCUCAACCCCCUAACCUGCACCCCAGUCUUUUGGGGUCACCUCAAGGCUUUGGCUGAUGCUUCUUUGCUGACGUCAACCAAGAAAACGUAUGAGGAAGAAAAUAGCAGAUGAGAAGAAUCAACCAAAUUCCGGAAGCUGGAAGGCAGAUGCAAGAAGGCCCUUGAAUGAUGCCAGCACCUUGAUAUUGGACUUUCCAGCCUCCAGAACCAUGAGCCAAUACAUUUCUGUUCCAUAAAAAUUACCCAGUUCCAGGUAUUCUGCUAUAGCAGCACAAAAUGGACUAAAACAAUGUUGGCACAAGACUCAGUGCUGGGCCUGGCAUGCAACAGGUCCUUGGAGUGGCGUGCUGUGUGGAUAAUGAAUAUUGGGGAAGGCAUCUCUCUCCAGCCCCUCUCAAGCUUUCUGUAGUCACUGGUCCACUCUGUAUUGCUAUGAAGAAGCUCAAGACCAGCCUGUAUCACUCGGGGUCCUGGCAGGAACCAGGUGCCACACUCAAACUGAGUAAUUGAAGAGGGUUUAAUAUGGGAGUUAUUUACAUAGGUGUGGGCUGGUGUAGCUGCCCAUAUGCCCUCAAAAUCACCUCUACAUGGCAAUAGCUACUUACUGCUAACAGAGUCUCUCUCUCAUUGCUGCAAAUAUUUUCUAGCCAUGCAAGAAACUCAGCCGGUCAUGUUGAACAAACUAAGAGUGCCAGGAAGUUAAUGUCCUGGAAGCAUUGCCAGAGGGGAGGGGGCAGUUAGAUUCCCCAGCUUCCUCGCUCCUCUGCUGGGUUAAGCCUGCAACAUAUUCAUCAUCUCCCAGAGUGCUGCCCAGGGAUAGAGCUCCAGGUGCUCAGUGUGGUGACCUGCUCAUGUCAGCUUCUUCCCCUUUCCUGUCUUGUUUCGCACCCACAUCCUUCCCAUGUUUCCUCUUCCCAAAUAAACUACUUGCAUUGAAA
rnacentral:lncRNA from 10 species